rnacentral:rRNA from 1 species
UACGUAGGGGGCAAGCGUUGUCCGGAUUUAUUGGGCGUAAAGCGCGUGUAGGCGGCCAGGUAGGUCGGUUGUGAAAACUGGAGGCUCAACCUCCAGACGUCGACCGAAACCAUCUGGCUAGAGUCCGGAAGAGGAGAGUGGAAUUCCUGGUGUAGCGGUGAAAUGCGCAGAUAUCAGGAAGAACACCGAUGGCGAAGGCAGCUCUCUGGGACGGUACUGACGCUGAAACGCGAAAGCGUGGGGAGCGAACAGG